UUUCCUGGAUAAGCUGCUUUCUUCAUGAUGUUUUGCCACACAAUGCUUUGGAGUCUCUUUACAAGUGGUUUCAGGAACAAGUCAACCAAAUGGAGGAGAUCAGCAGGGACCAAAGUAAUUUAGAAGAACUUCAAUCAGAUGGUAAAACAGCCAGUUUGAACAUUGUACAAAUUGCAAAACUGGCACGUAAAUUCGAAGAUAUUAAAAGUCGCCUAAAAAAGCGCAAGGAGGCCAUGCAGACUAAA